UUAGGUUUUUUCUCCUCCUCUACAGUAUUCGUUUCGCCCCUUUUUAUAUCAACAACUUAGGGUUUUAGGUUGGCUUAUGGAGAUCCAGAAGGGGUUUCUGCGAAAUCCCUUUAGGGUUGUCAGAUUUUGGUCGCCCUAUUUGAUUGUUAAAUUCGGAAGAGUGAAAACUAGAACCUUCAUGAGUGGUUUACAAAUUUCUUCUUCUACUUUGUGAUACAGACUAUAGCACAGCGUUUCUGAAUCAUCACAGCAAGAGAUAUGCAGCUUUAAAAGUAAUGUGCUUUGAAAAAAGGUGUUUUUGUUAUGGAAAUCCUAGGGUGGAGUUCUAGUGUGGAUGAAGCUCUUAGAUCCGCUUCUGGUUCGGUUGAGGAUGUGAAACUGUUUUGCUGUGAUCAAACUCAGGUUAACCAAUUGCCUUGGAAGUUAUGUUAGAGGCUGCUAUGGAGUUUUCGGUUUUGUAUGGAGGUUAACCAACCAAUUAGUAAGGGCGGAUUCAGGUUGUGGCUUUGAAUCAUGCUGUUGGAGGUUAGGUGGAUAUCAUUUGGGUUGAAAUUCGUUGGACAGUUGGAAGUUCGGUUGGAAUUUGUUAUGAUUCUAUUCUGAAUUCAGUUGAAAUUUGGAAAUUCGGAUCCUUUGGUUUGCACUUGCAGGUGUGAUGCAUAAUUGGUUAAUUACCGCAGAAUUUUGGACAUAUUUGCUUCAGGAAUGAAUAGAAAGUUUGAAGGUUAUUGAUAUAUUGAAUGAAAGUUUGAUGGUUUGAAUGAAUUGUAUGGAGUGUAGGAUUGUAAUGGUAUGUAAUGAAUUGUUAAAAAAAGAAUGGAAAAUUACUUACACA